AACGAACGCUGGCGGCAUGCCUAACACAUGCAAGUCGAACGAUACCUUCGGGGCUAGUGCCUCACGGGUGCGUAACGCGUGGGAACCUGCCCUUAGGUUCGCAAUAACGCCCCGAAAGGGGUGCUAAGACCGGAUAAUGUCUUCCGACCAAAGAGUUAUCGCCUUUGGAUGUGCCCGCGUUGGAUUAGCUAGUUGGUAUAGUAAAAGGCUACCAAGGCGACGAGCCAUAGCUGGUCUGAGAGGAUGAUCAGCAACACUGCGACUGAGACACGGACGAGAAUCCUACGGGAGGCAGGAGUGGGGAAUAUUGGACAAUGGGCGAAAGCCUGAUCCAGUCAUGCCGUGUGAGUGAUGAAGGACUUAGGGUUGUAAAGCUCUUUUACACGGGAUGAUAAUGACAGUACCGGGAGAAUAAGCUCCGGCUAACUACGUG
rnacentral:rRNA from 1 species